GGUGGGAAUUCCCGCAAGGCCUAUCUUUUAAAUUCAAAGGUAGGAAAAUAAGGAUAAGAUCAGUAGAAGAUCGAGAUCAAUUUUUAAAUCACUAUAGGGAAGACCUUCUGAAAGGAACAGUCGGAGAGGAAAUAACACCAGAAUCGAAAGACGCAACAGACAUCUUAAACUUGACGUUUGGACUGAAAUCACCAACAGAAGAAGAACAACUACUCGGAGCAACAGGAGGCAAAUAGCUUCAGGAUGGCCCUGCAACUUCUAAGUUGGAAUUGUAACGGACUUAACCUUCCGCGAAAGAGGAAAAAUAUAUUUCAUUUAUUGAAAAAAAGAGCAGUUGGACUUAAUUUGUUUACAGGAAACUCAUAUAACAAGAUUGCAUAGGAAACUACUCGUCAAUAAGAGAUUAGGUCAAGAAUUUAUUUCAUCGGAUAAAGUUAAGAAAAGAGGAGUGGUAAUCUAUGCAAAGAAAACUUUCCCCAAAGUUUAUAUUCAAAGAUGAACAAGGAAGGUAUUUGGCAAUUGAAGUGCAAAUUCAAGGUGAAAAAUUUUUGAUACUAGGGAUCUAUGCACCUAAUGAAGGGAAGUCAGAAUUUUUUAAGAAGUUGCAUGAGACAUUGCUGGACUAUUUGGAUUACAAAUUAAUCAUGAUGGGAGACAUGAAUGGAGUGGUAUCUACAAAUAUGGACAAAGCACAAAGACAGGUAAUCACCAGAGAUGGGAGACUACCAAAGACUUUCUUUGAAAUAACUGAAAAUAUGGACUUGAUUGAUAUUUGGAGAACAAGGAAUCCUCUCGAGAGAGAGGAACCUUUUCUCUGAAGCAAUGAUGACCUGGACCAGAAUCGAUCAAAUUUGGAUUACUAGUGGGUUGGCUCCAAAGAUUAAAAAAGUGGAAAUCUGCCCAAAGACCUGCUCCGACCAUAAUGCUGUGAAGAUGGAAAUGAAACUUACAACAACUGGUCAAUUCAGAUGGAGGAUGAAUGACACCCUGUUUCGAGAUGAGGAGAUCCACAGAAAGGCCCAAAAAACUUUAAAGGACUAUUUUGAAAUAAAUCUAAAAACUGAUGUAGAAAAAAGAGUGAUCUGGGACGCAAGUAAAGCAGUGAUGCGAGGAUUUCUAAUUCAACAAAAUUCAG